GGUUUGCCUCUCCCUUUCUGCCUUUGUCUUCUUCUUAUGUUUCUUCUUUGAGCCAAGUUCUCGACGCUGAUGAAGGCUUGUUUCAUCAGCUUCAGGAGGGUUUACGUCCUUGACUUGGACAUCAAGCUCACCAGCCAGAUAUCUAUGACGAGUAGUCGGCCGUUCUACAACUAGCUCAACGCAAUCGAUUAGCCAAGUAGGGCUGCUAGCUUCAUCAUCAGAGAGAAGAUUCUUCUUCCUCAGGCAAUGUAGAAGUUCCCUUUUCCCAUUCUGCAUGUUUCUUCUUGAUAACAACGAAGAUUCUUCCAAUCCACUGG
rnacentral:lncRNA from 1 species